ACUGUUUCCUUCUUGAAACCUUAAACUGAAGCAUUGUGUGUUUAUGCCAAGUUCACACAACACGACUUUCAAAGGUGUUAGACCACUGUACGGUUCAGACUACAAGACAAGCGGUCUUGUGAUCAGGAGUCUUGCAGUCAUUGUGAGUUCAUACUACAUUAUGGAAGGCGAUGGGGUUUCCAAACAUUAGAUCAUGAAGCUACGUGUCAAGAGAUCUGACUGAUCCUCCUGCUACAGAAUAACAUCAAGCUGAAGGAGACAGCUGCUCGGUGAAGAGUGGGUCCACCUUGGCGUGGAUGGAAACCAGCUGGCCCAGAGCCUCGGCAGCCCUCAGCCUCACUGCACGGCUUGAGUCCAGCAGGGCCUUCAGGAAGGUGGUCUGCAGCUGAGGGAGGAAGGGCUUCAGGGCGAUGCCCACCUGGAAGAGGAAAAUAAAAGGUUUGAGCCAAGAGAUAUGAAUCAAGAAAAAAUCAAACACCCUUAUGAAGAAAGAUAUGGAUGUAUAUUCAACUGUAUUUUUGGUGUCCUAUUGGGAGAUGUAGGCACAGACCUUUGCCAGCAGCAGGGUGAGAGUCUCCAGCAGAGCGGUCUUCACUGUCGAGGCAAACCGGUCUCCCAAGAUACGAAUGAGAGGUCCAGUUAUGUUGACAACAGAGGGCCUCAGCGCCUCAGGAGACGUCAGUUUGAUGAUCCCUCCCAAUGCUUUAGCUGCCUCUUCUUUCUGCUCAGGGCUGCCGGUGAGGACACCUUCUCUGAGGACAGGCAGGAUACAGGUCACACCCUGUGGACACAAACAGGAUGAAGAACAUAAUAGUGAAUAUCAUUUUCAUUGAUUAAUCUGUCAGUUUAUAUUUUGAUUAACUGCUUAAUUACUCUGUAACAUGUCUCAAAAGCUUAAUCUAACAACAUCAAAUUGCAUUUCCAAAGUUGCUAUAAUAAUUAAUUAUCUGCAGUGCUAUUUGCUGAAUGCUCACUCAUGCACUCAUGGCAUCAUUAUAGAGUUAUUACUGUCCUUGCAGACAAUUAGAAUAAAUAGUUUCAGCUUCGCGCAGUUUUUCUCUUUCAAGAUAAAACUAGUUUUUCAAUCUUUAGACUUUGUACCCAAGACUUUGAAUCUGCUGCACAUGAAAGAAAUGGAACGCCCAUACAUACAGCCCCAAUACCGCCAUAGAUUGAAAGAAUUUUGUGGGAAAUGCUGUGUAAAAUAUUGAAACCAGUGUGAUGAGACAUUUGUAUUUAGAUAAGUUUGAUGAAAGAUUGACACGUAUAUAUUGGGGAAAUUAUUACAAGCUGCUUUCUGUGUGGUUUAAACUGGUGAAAUCCUCUUUGCUGAUGUGUAUUGGCUGGAGACGCCUGGUCCUGCUGCUGAAACAAAAGGGUUUUCACAGCAGGGGCUCUCUUAAGGCUGAAUUAUACUCCUGCGACUGCAACCGCGGAAGGCCACGCAGCUGCAUCGACGGACUCGUUUUGGUUUAUACUUCUCUAACGUGUUGCGCGUGUUGCAACGCAAUUCACCGCCAGAACCCUAGGCGGAGUAACGUUUUUUUUUCAAAGACAAAACACAAAAAGAAGAGACGUCUUCUUCUUCGUCGACUGUUUAUUUACAUCGCCACUCCGGCUCCUCAUAGCCUAUUUCUGGCGGACAAAUCGGCCAGUCAGUGACGGGUUAUACAAGUGGUCAUACUUUCGGAUCUCUUCUGCCAAGUGCUCUUCUAUUUGGUCCAUAUUCGUUCUUCUAAAUCUUCCGUGAUUUCCGCGUAUUGUGGGGCAUGAAACCGGAAACUAGACUCCGGACGGGAUGUAGUAAGCCGACCAAUCACAAGCCUUGCGGGCUGCGUGAGGCUCGCGUCGUUUUGUCGUAUAGUUAGAAAAAUUGGCGGACGCACGCAAGCCGCCAGAGGGCACGAAAGGGGCGUGUUGCGUGUCUUGCGUGCAUGCGUGCGUGCGUAAAACCCGACUAUAAUUCGGCCUUUACACUCUGCAACAGGGUGACCAUAGGUGUUUAAACGGCGCAGACGAGGGGGUCUGAGAGAACGGGGGUUUCACUGAGAGAAACAGGUUUUACUGAGCAGAGGCCUGAUGUAAAUGUGUAGUGAGACUUCGAAGGGGUCCUCAUUCAGAUUGAAGGUGACCAAAUCUAAGCCUGAAGACAACACGCAGAGAGCUGAUUGGAUAAACAUUCUACCUCUGUGAAAGGAGGGGCUUAUUUAGUAUAAAUCAAAUGUGAUUUCAUUGUUCAGGGCCAUUGACUCAAAGUCUGAAAGUGACAAGAGUGCUCUGGCCCCUAGCCGCAGCUAGGUUGAAUUGUAUGAACCAGAAGAUAAUUGUUUGUCGUGUUAUGUAUUAAAAAUCCCAAUACACCAGAGAGCCAAAAAACUGCUCAUAUUUGUGAAAAUGGAACCACUUAAUUUUUGGAAUUAAAAAAAUGUUAAAGUCAAACACUAUUGUUGAUCAAGUUUGUUAUUGAUCAUGGCUCCCGAUAAUUAUUAAUUUGGUUGAAUUGAUGGUACAGAAUUAUACAGAUGAAUUAAAACAGAUAAGUGGAGACAUCUCUAUUGGGAGAAUUAUAAUCGGAAAUGUGACAUAACUGAACGAGAAUGAUGCCCACAGCAAAGUUGUAGUAAAAUUCCAACACAUGAUCGUUAGUAGAUAAAAACAUAGAACUACCAACAAUGUGUCAGGAGGAGCCGUCUUACCUUCUUGGGCAGACAGAAACCAGGCAGGUGUUGACCCUUCACAUCUGCAGCUACUGAUCUAAUGUCCCGGUGCAGGUCAUCGAUUAGAGCCAGCUGGCUGCUCGCGUCCAGUUUCUGUGAGACAAAAAGUAACAACACAUUGUUCACAUUUACCCUUUGACUAUACAGGACUAAACUCUUUGCUUUAUUUCCACCAUGUAGUGUUAAUACGAAUAUGGUAUCUCUGCAUCAAUGCAAAGAUGAAGUUGUGUACAGGUACUUUUCAUUUCCACUUCAACACACCUUGGUGAUGGAGUUGAUGGUGUCCCAGCUCUGAGUCAGGACCCCUGGGUUUGAGUCAUUGAGAAGGCGGAUGAGGCCGGACAGUAAAGUGCGUGUGUGGGAACUGUAGUCCAGGCGGGUACGAGCAAAGUAGGCAUUGAGGAUGGUGACGGAAGCCUGUCUGUGGCCAGGGUCAGCACCUCGUGUGGCCUCCAGCAGGUCAUCUAUGAUGAUGCGCUGGCCCAAAUCGUCUUCAACUGACAGGAUCACUGUUUGGCAAUUGCAGAGCUCCUGAAGCAAACAUAAUCCAUCAGAGUGAUCGUUAGUUCUUUACGAGCAUGAGGACAGAACGAGAAGGUUGUGUAACAGGAGCGGUGGAUGUAAUAAUUUGUGGGUGCUGGUGUUACCUGUGCUUCAUCCUCUGUUCCCAGCUUCCCUUUGAGGGAGGAGAGCAGAGCAGGCAGAAUGACGCCCAAGUGGCGUGUCAGAGCAUCGCCAGCCACAGCGGACAGGAAGGCCAGCACACGGGUGUUCACAGGAGGAGCAGUGAGCUGGUGAGGGAGGACAUCGGCGUUAGUCAGUCAUCUGGACACAAUAAUAUGGAGUAACACAAGAAAACCAGACUGUGAACAUUACCUUUGGAACCAGGUAAGGCAGAACAGAGCGACUCUUCACCGCCAUGACCUGCUUAAGACCAUCCAGAGCAAAGCCAGCCGUCUCCUCAUCAUCCUGGGAAAACACAUUCAAUUUAUUAUAGAUUAGUUCUUUUUUUUUUUUUUUUUUUAAAUGGUAUCUAAAUUUUACAUUAUUUGUGUCCUUGUUCACUCACCAGCUGUCUGAGCAGGCUAGGCAGGAUGUCAUCCAGUGCCUGGUGACCAAUGGUUGCAUGGAGCUGCUCGAAGGUUUUGGCUGCAGCCUCUCGAACCUCCUCCAGUGGGUCACAUAAAGCUUUCCUGACUGUUGGGACCAGUGAUUCGGAGAAGACAAGUACCUGCAGUGCAAUAACAACAGAGAAAUGUGUGUGACUCACCGCAUCUCUGCUGGUGGACUUCAUGAUCUCACUGAGUCCGAUGCAGACGCCCUGCCUCUCAUCGCUCUUGUCAGAGCGCAGUCCCUCCUCUAGGAUGGGAAUGAUCUCAGGGAGAAUCUUCUCUCCCAGCUUCCUCACCAGGUCACCCAAUGUCCGAGCAGCAAUCUAUAACCACAUGGACACAGAAUCAGUGGGGGGUGGAGGCAAGGAAACCCAGCAGGAGAGAGAAGAGGGUUGGGAGGAUCUCCCGAAGAGUUCUGGGGGUGUUGGACACCACGAUCUUCCACACGUGGAGGGAAGCCUGUCUAACCACAAGCUGGGUGUCUACCCGACCCAUAUAGAGGCCAGAGAGGACGCGGUUACGCCGCUCACCGCCAAGAGCACCAAUGAUGGCCUGUGGGGGAAGUUCAAAGGUCAGCAAUGCAGCAUUGGAGCUGAACAAUCCCUCAUUUGAAAUUAAGUCUCAGUUUUUUUAUUAUUAACUGGAUAAAUACGUGUUGGAUUUGUUGUUGGAAUUCUAUUCACUUUAUUUGAUGCUGCUGUCCCGAAGUUGUCAUCCUCAGAGGCCGUCUCUGUGGUCAUCUUUCCUGUUACUCCAGAGAUAUGGAACAGUAGAUCUCCAAGCAGCUGCACAGAGCUGAACCUGCACACCAACGGCAGCAUGGACACACAUUUAGUCAUCAAAGAGACCCUGUUCCAGCUCAGGAAGCAGCAAUGCGAUGGCGGUCUCGGCAUACAUGCUGACGACUCGCUGGCCCGCUCGCAGUGCUGUGUCCCUCACAUAUUCGUUCUCAUCAGCCAGGGCCUGGCGGUGAACAAAGAGAGAGAAAAAGAUACUGAGCUGCAGUGAAGUGUGAUCUGCAGAAUGAUACACAGCUUAAUGAUUGAGGUACUUGAGUCACUGACAAGGCAGUUUCCUGAUAUAGAUAAAUUUAACACAAAGUCCAGAGUUCCAACUUUUUAAUGAAAUUUAGAACUUAUCAAAUCGUUAGUUAUGAUGGAAUAUGAAUAUGAUGAGUAUUAGGGCUAUAUUGGAAUUUCGAGAAUAAUUACAAGUCGUAAUGAUAUUACAAUAAUUUAAAAUAUCGAUCCGAGAUGACCUCUGUUUGCUGGGGUUUCACUACUUAUAGAUUCCAAAUCUUGAACCAAUCUCAUUGUUGAUGAAAAUUACAAAGUACCAAUACCAAACAUUCCCUCCUCUACCAUAGACACAAAGUCCCCAGAGUUUGUGUGAUUCUUUCUUAUGAAUAAAAAAAGUCCUGAUACUUAGGUCAAUAUUUUUGAUGGUGCUGAUGAGCCAAAAGAUUGAGCAGGUCAUAUUAUGACUGUAUUCUCGUAAUAUUACUUAACUCACAAUGUUUUUUCCCUUUAAAUGCCACAGUAGCCUUUGAGUGGUCAUCAAUACUAGAAAAGCGCUAUAUAAAUACAAACCAUUUCAUAUGUAUACCUAUACUUUGGUUGUACUCAAACAAAAAAUAAAAUCAAAACUCAGGGCUAAAUUGGAAAAAAUACUAACAGAUUCUUGUUAACAGAUUGAGUGGCCAUUACCUUGAGAACGCAAGGGAUGAUGGGCCCAACAUAAGGAGUGAACCUCUCUCCAAAGGUCAGGGGCAGGUAGAUAAACAACAUGAUGUAGCCGUCUCUGACGUGGGAAGCGAUGUCGACCUUGCUGGCUGUCGCCACCACAUCUGGCAUUAGCUUGUCCAGCUUCUCCACUCCCAGUCCAGCCAUCACCUCAGCAAGACCUGAACACACCAACACACAAAGCAUUCAGUGACUCAGGUGUUCAAUGAUAUCGGGCACACAUCUCCACCAACACAACAAGAGAGUGAAGAAGAACUGACCUUGUGCAGCUCCGGAGCGAUCUACAGAGCUCUGUUCAGAGGCCAGGGUUUCCAUGAGCCACGGUAGCAGGUCAUCGAAGCAGGUCUCACCCAUCCCCUUUACCAUCGCACCCAAGGCCUUGGCUGAGACGGUACGAACCUGGAGAGGAGAAGAAGAGCGACUCUGGUUUCAACUCUAUACAACAGAACACAGUGGUGGGGCAUAUUCCAGAAAGGUGCUGAGGUGAAAACCCAGUGUCGCCUUCUGCUGAGUCUGAAGACGAUGACACUGUGCUUCAUUUCCUCAUUCAUAUAAUUGAUCUGAAAGCAUUACUUUGCAGACGUUCAUGACGAUCAAAAGAUGAUGAAACCCCCAGCUGCAGAGCUGGGGGUUUGUUAGUUUGCUAAACAACACCUAUCUAUAUUAAUGUUACCAUUAAGUCAUCAGCGUAAGGAGAGCGAAAAGCUCAGUGUAAGUUUCUGGCUCCUUAAACUUAAUCAUUAACUGUAUAUUACUGAAAUUCUCACUGUAAAUAAAGAAAAUUAUCAGUGUUAAAGCCAAACGUCACUGAUCAAUGAAUAAUCAUUUCUCAUAUUUUGACAUAUACUGUGACAUGUGAGGUCUUAAAAAUGAAUAAAAUGUUUAUGGUGUUUUAGGUGAAUAAAUAGUGUAUUUAAUUAUUAAUUAACACACGUCAGGCACUGGGUCCAACAGAGAGGCCUUCAGUCCAGGGAUGACACUCGGCAGGUAGGGUGAGAGAUCCUACAAACAAUGACACAAAUCACACCAUUAACAAAAUGUGUCAAAAAGUCUUCAGAAUACAAAGGUUUGAAGGACAAGUUAAUAUGUUGUUUGUGUUUUAAAGUUCAUUGUAAUAUUUCUUCACAGCUUGCUUACCUUCUGGUCAGUGAGGGAGUACAUGUUGCCAAUGAUCUGAGCGGCCAUCUUGCGUGUGUCAGUGGAGCGAUCCUGGAAGGCUCUCUGGACGAUGGGCAUGAUGAGGGCGAGUGAGGCAGCGUCGAUGAAGUGAACGAACUUGGUGUCCAGCAGUGUCUGCAGGCAUGUCUGUGUCUUUUUGGAUGGAUCCGUGAGGGCGUCCAGCAGGACGGGGGUUAU